GUUGUUGGGUAGGGGAGCGUUCUGUAAGCCUGCGAAGGUGUGCUGUGAGGCAUGCUGGAGGUAUCAGAAGUGCGAAUGCUGACAUAAGUAACGAUAAAGCGGGUGAAAAGCCCGCUCGCCGGAAGACCAAGGGUUCCUGUCCAACGUUAAUCGGGGCAGGGUGAGUCGACCCCUAAGGCGAGGCCGAAAGGCGUAGUCGAUGGGAAACAGGUUAAUAUUCCUGUACUUGGUGUUACUGCGAAGGGGGGACGGAGAAGGCUAUGUUGGCCGGGCGACGGUUGUCCCGGUUUAAGCGUGUAGGCUGGUUUUCCAGGCAAAUCCGGAAAAUCAAGGCUGAGGCGUGAUGACGAGGCACUACGGUGCUGAAGCAACAAAUGCCCUGCUUCCAGGAAAAGCCUCUAAGCAUCAGGUAACAUCAAAUCGUACCCCAAACCGACACAGGUGGUCAGGUAGAGAAUACCAAGGCGCUUGAGAGAACUCGGGUGAAGGAACUAGGCAAAAUGGUGCCGUAACUUCGGGAGAAGGCACGCUGAUAUGUAGGUGAAG
rnacentral:rRNA from 1 species